UACAGGGGGGGCAAGCGUUGCUCGGAAUUACUGGGCGUAAAGGGCUCGUAGGCGGCCAACUAAGUCACACGUGAAAUCCCCAGGCUCAACCUGGGAACUGCGUGUGAUACUGGAUGGCUUGAAUUCGGGAGAGGGAUGCAGAAUUCCAGGUGUAGCGGUGAAAUGCGUAGAUAUCUGGAGGAAUACCGGUGGCGAAGGCGGCAUCCUGGACCGACAUUGACGCUGAUGAGCGAAAGCUAGGGGAGCAAACGGG
rnacentral:rRNA from 1 species